rnacentral:rRNA from 1 species
AACGAACGCUGGCGGCAUGCCUAACACAUGCAAGUCGAACGAGACCUUCGGGUCUAGUGGCGCACGGGUGCGUAACGCGUGGGAACCUGCCCUUAGGUUCGGAAUAACUCCCCGAAAGGGGUGCUAAUACCGGAUAAUGUCUUCGGACCAAAGAUUUAUCGCCUUUGGAUGGGCCCGCGUUGGAUUAGCUAGUUGGUAGGGUAAAAGCCUACCAAGGCGACGAUCCAUAGCUGGUCUGAGAGGAUGAUCAGCCACACUGGGACUGAGACACGGCCCAGACCCGUAGGGGGGGCAGCAGGGGGGAAUAUGGGACAAGGGGCGAAAGCCUGAUCCAGCAAUGCCGGGUGAGUGAUGAAGGCCUUAGGGUUGUAAAGCUCUUUUACCCGGGAUGAUAAGGACAGGCCGGGGAAAAAAAGCCCCGGCAAACUCCGU